rnacentral:rRNA from 1 species
CUGGCGAAGAGCUUGUUUCUGUAUUUCAGUUGGGGGGUAAGACCUUACCAAGGCACUAUCAGAAGCUGGNCUGAGAGGAUGAGCAGCCACACUGGGACUGAGACACGGCCCACACUCCUACGGGAGCCAGCAUGGGGAAUUUUCCCCAAUGGGGGAAACCCUGACGGACAACGCCGCGGGAGGGAGGAAGGCCUUUGGGUUGGAAACCUCUUUUCUCAGGGAAGAAGUUCUGNCNNUCCUUGAUGGAUUAUCCUCGGNUAACUCCGUGCCAGCCNGCCGGCGGNAAUAGGGGCAAACCACCCCCCCCA